rnacentral:rRNA from 1 species
CCGCACGGGUGAGUAACACGUAUCCACCUGCCGUCUACUCUUGGCCAGCCUUCUGAAAGGAAGAUUAAUCCAGGAUGGCAUCAUGAGUUCACAUGUCCGCAUGAUUAAAGGUAUUUUCCGGUAGACGAUGGGGAUGCGUUCCAUUAGAUAGUAGGCGGGGUAACGGCCCACCUAGUCAACGAUGGAUAGGGGUUCUGAGAGGAAGGUCCCCCACAUUGGAACUGAGACACGGUCCAA